GACGAACGCUGGCGGCGUGCCUAAUACAUGCAAGUAGAACGCUGAAGGAGGAUCUUGCUUCUCUGGAUGAGUUGCGAACGGGUGAGUAACGCGUAGGUAACCUGCCUGGUAGCGGGGGAUAACUAUUGGAAACGAUAGCUAAUACCGCAUAAGAGUAGAUUUUGCAUGACAUUUUCUUAAAAGGUGCAAUUUCAUCACUACCAGCUGGACCUGCGUUGUAUUAGCUAGUUGGUGGGGUAACGGCUUUCCAAGGCGACGAGACAUAGCCGACCUGAGAGGGGGAUCGGACACAAGGGGACUGAGACACGGCCCAGACUCCUACGGGAGGCAGCAGUAGGGAAGCUUCGGAAAUGGACGGAAGGCUGAGCGAGCAACGCAGCGUGAGUGAAGAAGGUUUUCGGAUCGUAAAGAUAUGUUGUAAGAGAAGAACGAGUGUGAGAGUGGAAAGUUCAAAAAGUGACGGUAUCUUACCAGAAAGGGACGGAUAACUACGUG
rnacentral:rRNA from 1 species